GUGAAUCAUCAAAUUUUUGAACGCAAAUUGCACUCUCUUCGGAGAGUAUGCCUGUUUGAGGGUGAGUAUUGAUAAAAAUAGGUGUGUUGCUUCUUUGUGACGUUCCGGAGUUUGGGUCAUCUUAAUAUCGUUUAGGUUUUAAGUGGUUUAAAAUUGAUUUUUUUUGCGUUUUUUUAGACGUAGAUAAAUUUUUUUUUUUUCUUUUAUUCUUACUGCUAAAAUCUUAUUAGAUGCGGUUACUUCGUGUGUAUAC
rnacentral:misc_RNA from 1 species